GCAUGUCCUUCUUAUAACAAACCAGAAAAGUGUAAAAACCAUACAGUACUUGGUUGAUACGUAAUGUUUUAACAACAAAAAUACAGCACCCCCUCCCCCCAUCUUGCCUCAAAAUGGUUUGAUCCUGCUCAACUUUCCCAACUCAGGCUCAGAGCCUCUACCUGCAGAGCUAAGCGCUGCCCCACAGAAGGUAAUGUGCUGUGGUGGUGUGAGUACCUGGUUUGAACUUCUACCACUCAAUACCAACACAUUAUUAUCAUUACCGGUCCUAAUUUUUGCUGCAUUUAAUCAAAGGUUACUGUUUAUGUUGUUAGGUAGGAGUUAGCUGACAUUUUUUCUAGCUAGCAAACGUUACAGGUGGUCAGUGUCUGUUUGAAUUGGACUGAGAGAAGCUAGCUGUUGUGUCAGUGCAUGAAUUAAUAUUAAAGCCAAGGUGCUACUGACUAGCUAACUGACCGGAUGCCCAUUAACAUUAUAACUCCUAUUGGGUGUGUGUGCAGACAGACAGCCUCAUCAUGGACAUAAGAUUGUUUUUUCGAAGAAAAGAGCCAGGUUCAGUCCAAAGAGGAAGAGAUGAAAAAGGGGAAGGAGAGGAGAGAGUGCAAAGUCAGGAAGAACCAGAUAAUAAAACAAACAGAGAAUAGUGGCACGCAAAACAGUAACUGUUAAGAUGACAAAGAAAAACAAGGAGAGACUCUGGGAGAUGAGAGCGUGCAGACCAGGGAAAGAAAUGCUGUGCAUCACAUUUCAAAUAAAAGUCAAAAAAUAAGUCCUAGGUCCAUUUUUUGUUUUUUUGGUGCUUGGUAUAGGGGGCUGGUUUACUCCAGAAACAUACAUGCUGUUUAUGUGUAUGUUGAGGAGCUGCUGUAUCUAAAUGAGUCGUCUUUUCCCAGAAAUUAGGACUACGAUAUGUUUCUUUUAAGAUUCCAGUGCAUUCCUCCUUUGCGGUGAUUCCGCAUUUAAAUAAACUUUAUCAGAUUGGAUGGUUUAGUCACA